rnacentral:rRNA from 1 species
UACGUAGGGUGCGAGCGUUAAUCGGAAUUACUGGGCGUAAAGGGUGCGCAGGCGGUUUUGUAAGUCAGAUGUGAAAUCCCCGGGCUUAACCUGGGAAUUGCGUUUGAAACUAUAAGACUAGAGUGCAAGAGAGGGGAGUGGAAUUCCAUGUGUAGCAGUGAAAUGCGUAGAGAUGUGGAAGAACACCGAUGGCGAAGGCAGCUCCCUGGAUUGACACUGACGCUCAUGCACGAAAGCGUGGGGAGCAAAC